rnacentral:rRNA from 1 species
GACGAACGCUGGCGGCGUGCUUAACACAUGCAAGUCGAACGGAAAGGCCCUGCUUUUGUGGGGUGCUAGAGUGGCGAACGGGUGAGUAACACGUGAGUAACCUGCCCUUGACUUUGGGAUAACUUCAGGAAACUGGGGCUAAUACCGGAUAGGAGCUCCUGCUGCAUGGUGGGGGUUGGAAAGUUUCGGCGGUUGGGGAUGGACUCGCGGCUUAUCAGCUUGUUGGUGGGGUAGUGGCUUACCAAGGCUUUGACGGGUAGCCGGCCUGAGAGGGUGACCGGCCACAUUGGGACUGAGAUACGGCCCAGACUCCUACGGGAGGCAGCAGUGGGGAAUAUUGCACAAUGGGCGGAAGCCUGAUGCAGCAACGCCGCGUGCGGGAUGACGGCCUUCGGGUUGUAAACCGCUUUCGCCUGUGACGAAGCGUGAGUGACGGUAAUGGGUAAAGAAGCACCGGCUAACUACGU